rnacentral:ncRNA from 1 species
CAGACAAAGGCACAGCCGGUGAAAACCGGUGUCGCAAAGCCAGAUGGGCCUAAACGGAGUUUUUUCUCCGCAUGGCAGCCGGUUGCCAA